rnacentral:tRNA from 1 species
CGCGGCGUGGAGCAGCGGUCAGCUCGCCCGGCUCAUACCCGGGAGGUCGCGGGUUCGAGUCCCGCCGCCGCUA